AUACAGAGGGUGCAAGCGUUAUUCGGAAUUACUGGGCGUAAAGCGCGCGUAGGCGGAUGAUUAAGUCAGUUGUGAAAGCCCUGGGCUCAACCUAGGAACUGCAUCUGAUACUGGUCAUCUAGAGUUUAAGAGAGGGAAGUGGAAUUCCAGGUGUAGCAGUGAAAUGCGUAGAUAUCUGGAGGAACAUCAGUGGCGAAGGCGACUUCCUGGCUUAGAACUGACGCUGCGGUGCGAAAGCGUGGGUAGCGAACGGGAUUAGAAACCCUGGUAGUCC
rnacentral:rRNA from 1 species